rnacentral:SRP_RNA from 6 species
AUCUGCUAAGGCAAAUUGUAAUUAAAUUUUUUGAAGAAAAAUUUUACGGUCGUUGUGCGGGCGAAGCGGUUCAGGUCCUGCGCAACGAGUACAUGUGAACCGGGUCAGGCCGUGACAGGAGCAGCCCUAAGCGUGGAGUCUUGUGUGCCGCAGGGAAACCUGAAAGCGCUUCGUCCGCACAACGACCGUAAAAAAACAGGU